rnacentral:snRNA from 1 species
AUACUUACCUGGCAACAGAGAUACCAUGAUCACGAAGGUGGUUUUCCCAGGGCAAGGCUUAUCCAUUGCACUCCGGAUGUGCUGACCCCUGCGAUUUCCCCAAAUGUGGGAAACUCGACUGCAUAAUUUGUGGUAGUGGGAGACUGUGUUCGCUCUAUCCCCUA